rnacentral:rRNA from 1 species
GAUGAACGCUAGCUACAGGCUUAACACAUGCAAGUCGAGGGGUAACGAGAGGAAAGCUUGCUUUCCUUGUCGACGACCGGCGCACGGGUGAGUAACGCGUAUCCAACCUGCCCCCCAACUAGGGAAUAACCUUGCGAAAGUAAGACUAAUACCCUAUAAUUUCCUCAGAUGCCAUCUGACGAGGAAUAAAGAUUUAUCGGUUGUGGAUGGGGAUGCGUCUGAUUAGCUUGUUGGCGGGGUAACGGCCCACCAAGGCAACGACCAGUAGGGGUUCUGAGAGGAAGGUCCCCCACAUUGGAACUGAGACACGGUCCAAACUCCUACGGGAGGCAGCAGUGAGGAAUAUUGGUCAAUGGGCGGAAGCCUGAACCAGCCAAGUAGCGUGCAGGAUGACGGCCCUAUGGGUUGUAAACUGCUUUUAUACAGGAAUAAAGUUAGCCACGUGUGGUUAUUUGUAGGUACUGUAUGAAUAAGGACCGGCUAAUUCCGUGCCAGCAGCCGCGGUAA